rnacentral:rRNA from 1 species
UGGGGAAUUUUGGACAAUGGGCGAAAGCCUGAUCCAGCAAUGCCGCGUGUGUGAAGAAGGCCUUCGGGUUGUAAAGCACUUUUGUCCGGAAAGAAAAUCCUUGGCUCUAAUACAGUCGGGGGAUGACGGUACCGGAAGAAUAAGCACCGGCUAAACUACGUGCCAGCAGCCGCGGUAAUACGUAGGGUGCAAGCGUUAAUCGGAAUUACUGGGCGUAAAAGCGUGCGCAGGCGGUUUGCUAAGACCGAUGUGAAAUCCCCGGGCUCAACCUGGGAACUGCAUUGGUGACUGGCAGGCUAGAGUAUGGCAGAGGGGGGUAGAAUUCCACGUGUAGCAAGUGAAAAUGCGUAGAGAUGUGGAGGAAAUACCGAUGGCGAAAGGCAGCCCCCUGGGCCAAAUACUGACGCUCAUGCACGAAAAGCGUGGGGGAGCAAAAACAAGGAUUAGAUACCCUGGUAGUCCACGCCCUAAAACGAUGUCAAACUAGUUGUUGGGGAUUC